GACGAACGCUGGCGGCGUGCUUAACACAUGCAAGUCGAACGGAAAGGCCCUGCUUUUGUGGGGUGCUCGAGUGGCGAACGGGUGAGUAACACGUGAGUAACCUGCCCUUGACUUUGGGAUAACUUCAGGAAACUGGGGCUAAUACCGGAUAGGAGCUCCUGCUGCAUGGUGGGGGUUGGAAAGUUUCGGCGGUUGGGGAUGGACUCGGGGCUUAUCAGCUUGUUGGUGGGGUUGUGGCUUACCAAGGCCUUGACGGGUAGCCGACCUGGGAGGGUGACCGGCCACAUUGGGACUGAGUUACGGCCCAGACUCCUAUGGGAGGCAGCAGUGGGGAAUAUUGCACAAUGGGCGGAAGCCUGAUGCAGCAACGCCGCGUGCGGGAUGACGGCCUUCGGGUUGUAAACCGCUUUCGCCUGUGACGAAGCGUGAUUGACGGUAAUGGGUAAAGAAGCACCGGCUAACUACGUG
rnacentral:rRNA from 1 species